rnacentral:rRNA from 1 species
CCGGCACGGGUGAGUAACACGUAUCCAACCUGCCGUCUACUCUUGGACAGCCUUCUGAAAGGAAGAUUAAUACAAGAUGGCAUCAUGAGUCCGCAUGUUCACAUGAUUAAAGGUAUUCCGGUAGACGAUGGGGAUGCGUCCCAUUAGAUAGUAGGCGGGGUAACGGCCCACCUAGUCUUCGAUGGAUAGGGGUUCUGAGAGGAAGGUCCCCCGCAUUGGAACUGAGACACGGUCCAA